UACGUAGGGGGCAAGCGUUGUCCGGAUUUAUUGGGCGUAAAGAGCGUGUAGGCGGCCACACAGGUCAGCUGUGAAAACUCGAGGCUCAACCUCGAGACGUCGGUUGAAACCGUAUGGCUAGAGUCCGGAAGAGGAGAGUGGAAUUCCCGGUGUAGCGGUGAAAUGCGCAGAUAUCGGGAAGAACACCCGUGGCGAAGGCGGCUCUCUGGGACGGUACUGACGCGUGAGACGCGGAAAGCGUGGGGAGCGAACAGG
rnacentral:rRNA from 1 species